rnacentral:rRNA from 1 species
CGGGUGAGUAACGCGUGGAUAACCUGCCUCACACAGGGGGAUAACAGUUAGAAAUGACUGCUAAUACCGCAUAAGCGCACGGCAUCGCAUGAUGCAGUGUGAAAAACUCCGGUGGUGUGAGAUGGAUCCGCGUCUGAUUAGGUAGUUGGUGGGGUAACGGCCCACCAAGCCGACGAUCAGUAGCCGACCUGAGAGGGUGACCGGCCACAUUGGGACUGAGACACGGCCCAAACUCCUACGGGAGGCAGCAGUGGGGAAUAUUGCACAAUGGGCGAAAGCCUGAUGCAGCGACGCCGCGUGAGUGAAGAAGUAUCUCGGUAUGUAAAGCUCUAUCAGCAGGGAAGAAAAUGACGGUACCUGACUAAGAAGCCCCGGCUAACUACGUGCCAGCAGCCGCGGUAAUACGUAGGGGGCAAGCGUUAUCCGGAUUUACUGGGUGUAAAGGGAGCGCAGACGGCGAUGCAAGUCUGGAGUGAAAGCCCGGGGCUCAACCCCGGGACUGCUUUGGAAACUGUAUGGCUAGAGUGCUGGAGAGGCAAGCGGAAUUCCUAGUGUAGCGGUGAAAUGCGUAGAUAUUAGGAAGAACACCAGUGGCGAAGGCGGCUUGCUGGACAGUAACUGACGUUCAGGCUCGAAAG